rnacentral:rRNA from 1 species
GUGGGGAAUCUUCCACAAUGGACGAAAGUCUGAUGGAGCAACGCCGCGUGAGUGAAGAAGGGUUUCGGCUCGUAAAGCUCUGUUGUCGGGGACGAAUGUGCAGUAUUUGAAUAAAGUACUGCAAUGACGGUACCUGACGAGGAAGCCACGGCUAACUACGUGCCAGCAGCCGCGGUAAUACGUAGGUGGCAAGCGUUGUCCGGAAUUAUUGGGCGUAAAGGGAGCGCAGGCGGGAAGGUAAGUCGGUCUUAAAAGUGCGGGGCUCAACCCCGUGAUGGGAUCGAAACUAUCUUUCUUGAGUGCAGGAGAGGAAAGUGGAAUUCCUAGUGUAGCGGUGAAAUGCGUAGAUAUUAGGAGGAACACCAGUGGCGAAGGCGGCCACCUGGACAGGUACUGACGCUGAGGCGCGAAAGCGUGGGGAGCAAACAGGAUUAGAAACCCCGGUAGUCC